UGUGAAACUGCGAAUGGCUCAUUAUAUCAGUCAUAGUUUAUUUGAAAGUCCCUUACUACAUGGAUAACCGUAGUAAUUCUAGAGCUAAUACAUGCUUAAAAGCCUAACUGCCUCGGCGGACGGGUUGCAUUGAUUAGACCGAAACCAAUGCGUCUUC
rnacentral:rRNA from 3 species